GUAGUUUAAAAAUUAAUUAUAAAUAAGUAGAAAUGAAUGAAUAAAUUUUUGUCAUAACAAAUAUAUUACAAUACAAUAAUUUGAACAAAUAUAUUAUAUAAAUAAUUAUCUAAUAUUAUGUUUUCAUAACAUAUUUACGGUGAAAAUGAAGUCCUCUUCACCAACUUCAUGCUAUCUUCAUGCUGUAAGUUAAUCUGCAAAAAUCUCUUAGAAAAAUUAUUGCAAUUAAAAAAGUAAUUCAUUAUUGUUGAACCAAGUGGAGUUCAAUGUUUUGAAGAAUCCAAAUCCUUUGAAGGAUGAUGAAGCCUCUGCUUUGCUUGAUGCUGCUGUGCUGGUUUCAGCCUUGUUCUGGGAUAGUUCAAUGUUGUAAUCAACACUUAGAUUAAAUCUCAAAGCAAUUAACAUCUCAAUUUUAACAAAACAAAAUGUUUUUCAAACUAAGUUGAAACAACCG
rnacentral:lncRNA from 1 species